GUGUUCUCCUCGCUCAGCUCACGCCAGCGAGCCACCCUCCUCUGCCAGCGAAGCCCACCUUCGUUUGUCUCCGUUCUCUGAGGAGCCCAGCACCUUCGGUCCCUCAUCUCUGCCUCCACCGAACACCUCUCAUCUGCUGCCGUUGUUUGCGCUUGCCCACCUCAUGCCCACGCGUCCACAGCUUCUACUUUUGAAGUCACCAUUGCCGAUUUGUUGACCCCGAGUCUCCUCGGCCAACCAUUCGCGUGAGACUUCCACGGAGCAGCUCCCAUCUUCACUCGUGGAUCAGCCCUGCAAUCCUUUCCGCUAGUUUGUUAAUUGUGGAUCUCCGCUUGUCCAGCGUCAAGAGACCGAAUCAGCCGCGUCUUCUUUCUCCAUCGUCCGAGGCAGUCCCUGUCCGUGUCUUCGAGCAGCCGUCUUCAGCACAUCCAUUAGCCCAUCUAGCAAUUUAGGCCCGGUUCAGCAGCCCACGAAAUCUUCCAAUUCAGUCCGCAAGUUCAGCAAUCCAGCCCGUUGAUUGGAGUUCAGCCCAAGCCCGCGAAGCCAAGCCCAAUUCAGUAACUCCCAAGCCCAAGAAGUGGGCCCAAGCCCAGUAACUUGCUAUGGGCUUGCAAGGCUUUUGGGCCCGGCCCGAGUGUCCGCCGACGCCGCCGAAAGUUCGGGUUUCGGCCAUCGUCGUGUCGCCAUCGCGGUGAUCUGGUCUCCGCUUUCAAUCAAGAUCCUGAUAAGGAGCCUGAGGAGAAAGAAACCGAAGAGGAGUACCUGGAGGAGAACCCUAAUGAUGAUCCGAGUACGACCCGGAUGAGGACUAUGAUCCCAUCUUAUUUGUGAAUCCUGUCUAAAUAUGAAUAGUGUGAGACUAGAAUGUUAUUAAUAGUCUUGUGAAUAGACUUCGAGUUAUGCCAUGUAUAAAGGUUUGGUUGUGGAUUUCAAUAUGAAAAAUAUGGCCUUACUUUUUUAUC